rnacentral:rRNA from 1 species
CAGCGCCACAAGUGGCAAUCAUGUAUUUGGCCUAAAGCGUCCGUAGCCGGUUUGGCAAAUCUUCUGUGAAAUCGAGCAGCUCAACUGUUCGGCGGGCAGGAGACACUACCAAACUUGGAACCGGGAGGGGUACAGAGUAUUCCAGGGGAAGCGGUAAAAUGCUAUAAUCCCUGGAGGACUACCUAUGGCGAAGGCACUGUACCAGAACGGAUUCGACGGUGAGGGACGAAAGCCAGGGGAGCGAUCCGGAUUAGAGACCCGAGUAGUCC